rnacentral:rRNA from 1 species
AAAGCGUGCGCAGGCGGUUAUGUAAGACAGAUGUGAAAUCCCCGGGCUCAACCUGGGAACUGCAUUUGUGACUGUAUAGCUGGAGUGCGGCAGAGGGGGAUGGAAUUCCGCGUGUAGCAGUGAAAUGCGUAGAUAUGCGGAGGAACACCGAUGGCGAAGGCAAUCCCCUGGGCCUGCACUGACGCUCAUGCACGAAAGCGUGGGGAGCAAACAGGAUUAGAUACCCUUGU